rnacentral:tRNA from 1 species
GAGGGUGUAGCUCAGUGGUAGAGCAUGUACUCAGCAUGCACAAGGUCCUGGGUUCGAUCCUCAGUAUCUCCA